rnacentral:rRNA from 1 species
CGCGUAGGCGGCUUGGUAAGGGGGCGGUGAAAGCCCGGGGCUCAACCCCGGGUCGUCCGGACCGACUGCCGAGCUUGAGCACACUAGGGGCGGGUGGAAUUCCGGGUGUAGCGGUGGAAUGCGUAGAGAUCCGGAGGAACACCGGUGGCGAAGGCGGCCCGCCGGGGUGUGGCUGACGCUGAGGCGCGACAGCGUGGGGAGCAAACAGGAUUAGAUACCCUGGUAGUCCACGCCGUAAACGAUGGGCACUAGGUGCUCGGGGGAGCGACCCCUUGGGUGCCGGCGCUAACGCAUUAAGUGCCCCGCCGUGGGGAGUACGGCCGCAAGGCUGAA